GGGCGCACGGUGGAUGCCUUGACACUAGGAGUCGAUGAAGGACGGGACUAACGCCGAUAUGCUUCGGGGAGCUGUAAGUAAGCUUUGAUCCGAAGAUUUCCGAAUGGGGAAACCCACCAUACGUAAUGGUAUGGUAUCCUUAUCUGAAUACAUAGGAUAAGGAAGACAGACCCAGGGAACUGAAACAUCUAAGUACCUGGAGGAAGAGAAAGCAAAUGCGAUUUCCUGAGUAGCGGCGAGCGAAACGGAACAUAGCCCAAACCAAGAGGCUUGCCUCUUGGGGUUGUAGGACAUUCUAUACGGAGUUACAAAGGAACGAGGUAGACGAAGCGACCUGGAAAGGUCCGUCGUAGAGGGUAACAACCCCGUAGUCGAAACUUCGUUCUCUCUUGAAUGUAUCCUGAGUACGGCGGAACACGUGAAAUUCCGUCGGAAUCUGGGAGGACCAUCUCCCAAGGCUAAAUACUCCCUAGUGAUCGAUAGUGAACCAGUACCGUGAGGGAAAGGUGAAAAGCACCCCGGAAGGGGAGUGAAAGAGAUCCUGAAACCGUGUGCCUACAAAUAGUCAGAGCCCGUUAACGGGUGAUGGCGUGCCUUUUGUAGAAUGAACCGGCGAGUUACGAUCCCGUGCGAGGUUAAGCUGAAGAGGCGGAGCCGCAGCGAAAGCGAGUCUGAAUAGGGCGUUUAGUACGUGGUCGUAGACCCGAAACCAGGUGAUCUACCCAUGUCCAGGGUGAAGUUCAGGUAACACUGAAUGGAGGCCCGAACCCACGCACGUUGAAAAGUGCGGGGAUGAGGUGUGGGUAGCGGAGAAAUUCCAAUCGAACCUGGAGAUAGCUGGUUCUCCCCGAAAUAGCUUUAGGGCUAGCCUUAAGUGUAAGAGUCUUGGAGGUAGAGCACUGAUUGGACUAGGGGUCCUCAUCGGAUUACCGAAUUCAGUCAAACUCCGAAUGCCAAUGACUUAUCCUUAGGAGUCAGACUGCGAGUGAUAAGAUCCGUAGUCAAAAGGGAAACAGCCCAGACCGCCAGCUAAGGUCCCAAAGUGUGUAUUAAGUGGAAAAGGAUGUGGAGUUGCUUAGACAACUAGGAUGUUGGCUUAGAAGCAGCCACCAUUUAAAGAGUGCGUAAUAGCUCACUAGUCGAGUGACUCUGCGCCGAAAAUGUACCGGGGCUAAAUACACCACCGAAGCUGCGGAUUGAUACCAAUGGUAUCAGUGGUAGGGGAGCGUUCUAAGGACAGUGAAGUCAGACCGGAAGGACUGGUGGAGUGCUUAGAAGUGAGAAUGCCGGUAUGAGUAGCGAAAGACGGGUGAGAAUCCCGUCCACCGAAUGCCUAAGGUUUCCUGAGGAAGGCUCGUCCGCUCAGGGUUAGUCAGGACCUAAGCCGAGGCCGACAGGCGUAGGCGAUGGACAACAGGUUGAUAUUCCUGUACCACCUCUUUAUCGUUUGAGCAAUGGAGGGACGCAGAAGGAUAGAAGAAGCGUGCGAUUGGUUGUGCACGUCCAAGCAGUUAGGCUGAUAAGUAGGCAAAUCCGCUUAUCGUGAAGGCUGAGCUGUGAUGGGGAAGCUCCUUAUGGAGCGAAGUCUUUGAUUCCCCGCUGCCAAGAAAAGCUUCUAGCGAGAUAAAAGGUGCCUGUACCGCAAACCGACACAGGUAGGCGAGGAGAGAAUCCUAAGGUGUGCGAGAGAACUCUGGUUAAGGAACUCGGCAAAAUGACCCCGUAACUUCGGGAGAAGGGGUGCUUUCUUAACGGAAAGCCGCAGUGAAUAGGCCCAAGCGACUGUUUAGCAAAAACACAGCUCUCUGCGAAGCCGUAAGGCGAAGUAUAGGGGGUGACACCUGCCCGGUGCUGGAAGGUUAAGGAGAGGGGUUAGCGUAAGCGAAGCUCUGAACUGAAGCCCCAGUAAACGGCGGCCGUAACUAUAACGGUCCUAAGGUAGCGAAAUUCCUUGUCGGGUAAGUUCCGACCCGCACGAAAGGUGUAACGAUUUGGGCACUGUCUCAACCAGAGACUCGGUGAAAUUAUAGUACCUGUGAAGAUGCAGGUUACCCGCGACAGGACGGAAAGACCCCGUGGAGCUUUACUGUAGCCUGAUAUUGAAUUUUGGUACAGUUUGUACAGGAUAGGCGGGAGCCUUUGAAACCGGAGCGCUAGCUUCGGUGGAGGCGCUGGUGGGAUACCGCCCUGACUGUAUUGAAAUUCUAACCUACGGGUCUUAUCGACCCGGGAGACAGUGUCAGGUGGGCAGUUUGACUGGGGCGGUCGCCUCCUAAAGUGUAACGGAGGCGCCCAAAGGUUCCCUCAGAAUGGUUGGAAAUCAUUCGUAGAGUGCAAAGGCAUAAGGGAGCUUGACUGCGAGACCUACAAGUCGAGCAGGGACGAAAGUCGGGCUUAGUGAUCCGGUGGUUCCGCAUGGAAGGGCCAUCGCUCAACGGAUAAAAGCUACCCCGGGGAUAACAGGCUUAUCUCCCCCAAGAGUCCACAUCGACGGGGAGGUUUGGCACCUCGAUGUCGGCUCAUCGCAUCCUGGGGCUGUAGUCGGUCCCAAGGGUUGGGCUGUUCGCCCAUUAAAGCGGUACGCGAGCUGGGUUCAGAACGUCGUGAGACAGUUCGGUCCCUAUCCGUCGUGGGCGUAGGAAAUUUGAGAGGAGCUGUCCUUAGUACGAGAGGACCGGGAUGGACGCACCGCUGGUGUACCAGUUGUUCUGCCAAGGGCAUAGCUGGGUAGCUAUGUGCGGAAGGGAUAAGUGCUGAAAGCAUCUAAGCAUGAAGCCCCCCUCCAAGAUGAGAUUUCCCAUAGCGUAAGCUAGUAAGAUCCCUGAAAGAUGAUCAGGUUGAUAGGUUCGAGGUGGAAGCAUGGUGACAUGUGGAGCUGACGAAUACUAAUAGAUCGAGGACUUAACCAU
rnacentral:rRNA from 1 species